AGCCCAUUUGGAGGAAAGGAAGAAGACCGUUGCUGUCUCUCAGCCCAAGAACAAGUCUUUGUCGUCUUCUGCAACUUCAGUAAACAAGCAAGCUUUGCGUGAGCAUGGUACGGUCAAGCCAGCUCACUGUGUGGAGACAAAGAAUAGGUUUGAGAGUUUGGACAGCUGUACAGCAGUGUGCUGAGGUUAACCUAAAUCUGAGAGUUGUAUAUAUUGAUGUAAAGGGCAAGUCUUGCCGUCAAGUUGAAAGUAAUAAGAAAGCAUAAGUUUCUUCUCUAUUACGUCUUAGUUUCUUCCCAUCUACAUGGUAUCAGAGCCAUGGAUGAGGCUUCAGAAACGAUUUCAACUCCAUCUUUGAGUAUCUCACAGUGUGUUACUCUGAAGCUCUCUUCUUCGAACUAUCUUCUUUGGAAGACUCAGUUCGAAUCUUUUCUGUCCAGUCAGUCUUUGCUUGGCUAUCUUGACGGGUCCACACCACGGCCUUCCCCAUCUCAGACAACUACCAACUCUGACAACACGAGAAGGAGAUGUAGUUACUGAAGAAGCAAACCCAGAGUUUGCGAAGUGGGUUCGCCGAGAUCAGUUGGUUACGUCUUGGCUGUUUGGUUCGUUGACUGAAGAAGCUUUGCGUUCGGUUUAUGGUCUUCAUUCAGCUCAAGAAGUGUGGUUCAGCCUUGGGAAGAAGUAUAACAGAGUCUCAGCAACUCGCAAGUUAGACCUACAACGUAAGCUCCAAGGUAUGUCAAAGGGUCAAAAGUCUAUGACAGAGUAUUUGGGUGAAGUCAAAGGAGUUUGUGAUCAACUUGAUUCGAUUGGUUGUCCUAUAACUGAACAAGAGAUGAUAUAUGGAGCUCUCAGUGGGUUAGGAAAAGAGUAUGAGUCUAUUUGUACGGUGAUAGAGCAUUCCAUGGAUUCAGUUCCACAGAUGAGUUUUGAGGAUGCAGUGUUCAAGUUGGUGGUGUUUGAUGACAAGUUGCAGAAGUUCAAUCAAGCUCCUGACGUAAAUCCUCACUUGGCGUUCCAUACUGGAAGAGGUUAUAACACCAGAGGACGUGGAAGCUACAACUAUCGUGGAGGAUACAGAGGUCGUAACAACACCAACUCUUAUUCAACCAGAGGUCGUGGCUUUCAGCAACAGUUUUCAGGAGGAUCUGGUUCCAAUGCAAGUUCAAGACCUACAUGUCAAAUCUGUGGCCGCUUUGGUCAUACUGCAGAUCGAUGCUACAACCGCUUUGAUCAGGACUAUAGAACUCCUGACAACAUUCACACUGCCCUUGCUACGAUGAGAGUCUCAGAUCAUCACGGUCAGUCAGGUCAUGAGUGGUAUCCAGAUUCUGCUGCAACAGCUCACAUCACAAACAACAGUGAUCAACUCCAGUCUUCAGAGCCAUAUUUGGGGAAUGAUCAGGUUAUAGUUGGUAACGGUGACUUCCUACCUAUCACUCAUGUCGGGUCUAUUUCACUUCAAACUCAACAAGGUAACUUGCCUCUCAAUGAUGUGUUGAUAUGUCCUGGUAUAACUAAAUCUUUGCUGUCUGUAUCAAAGUUGACAUCUGAUUAUCCUUGUGAGUUUACUUUUGAUUCUGAUUCGGUGUGUGUUAAGGACAAGGCCACAAAGAGAGUGAUAACACAAGGAAGAAGACUUAAAGACCUGUAUGUACUGAAGGACAUGCGGUUUCAAGCCUUUUAUUCAACACGUCAACAAGCUGCAAGUGAAGAAGUGUGGCAUAGAAGGCUGGGGCACACAAAUAUGGAUGUUCUUCAGCACUUAUCAAGAAGUCUAUCUAUAGUAAUGAAUAAAACAAGCUCAUGUCUGUGUUGUGAUGCUUGUUCAUUAGGAAAGAGUUCAAGGCUUCCCUUUGUUAACUCUGAGUCUGUCUUUAGUCAUCCCUUAGAAAGGAUUCACUGUGAUUUGUGGGGGCCUAGUCCUGUAAUGUCAUCGCAAGGUUUCAGAUACUAUGUCAUUUUCAUUGAUAAUUAUUCAAGAUACACUUGGUUUUAUCCUCUCAAGCUCAAGUCUGAAUUCUUUUCUGUCUUUGUGCGGUUUCAAAGUCUGGUUGAAAAUCAAUACAAGCAGCGCAUUGCUCAGUUCCAGUGUGAUGGAGGAGGAGAGUUCAUCAACAAGAAAUUUAUGCAACACCUGCAGUCUUGCGGCAUCAAGCAGCUUGUGUCGUGUCCUCAUACACCUCAACAGAACGGCUUAGCUGAGAGGAAGCACAGACAUAUAACAGAACUUGGGCUGACAAUGAUGUUUGAUAGUAAAGUCCCGCAACAACUAUGGGUUGAAGCCUUCUUUACUGCAAACUUUAUUGUCAACUUAUUGCCAUCCUCAGUUCUGAAAGAGAGAAAGAGUCCUUAUGAAGUGUUAAAUGACAAAGCACCAGUGUAUACAGCUCUUCGAGUGUUUGGAUGCAAAUGUUACCCUUAUCUUCGGCCUUACAUGAAGAAUAAGUUCGAUCCAAAGUCUCUGGUAUGUGUGUUUUUGGGUUACAAUGAGAGAUAUAAAGGUUACCGAUGUUUGUAUCCACCAACAGGGAAAGUGUUUAUCUCAAGACACGUUCUGUUCGAUGAGAAUCACUUUCCAUUUGGAGAUAUCUACAGUCACUUUCACACAGAUUCAGACUCAUCUCUACUCAACUCCUGGAAGAGUGUGAACCUGUUUCAAUCAAUGCAACAAGAAGAAGUUGACAAGAAUAUUGAAGAGUUACCAGCGACUGUGAUCAAGACUGUAGUUGCUCCAGCAGUUGUUUUGCCGCAGAAUUCAGAAGCUCAGACAGGUAGUGACACAGAAGAAUCUGCUACUACAUCAUCAACUGAUCAGUCUGACGAUGAUGCUGCGGUUGAACAGCAAGAGCAAGUGGAACCAGUAGUCUCAGUUCCUCACUCAAUGACAACACGUGCCAGAGCAGGAAUCAUCAAACCAAACCCUCGAUAUGCAAUGGUUUCUGUGAAAACAGAACACUCUAACCUCGAAGUGUCAAAGCAGCUUUGAACGAUCCACGUUGGAAUGCUUCUAUGCGUUUGGAAAUCGAUAACAUGGAAGAAACAGGGACAUAUGAGUUAGUUCCAUCAGAGGAAGGACAAAAUCCAGUAGGCUGUGGCUGGGUUUAUAAGACUAAGCUCAAUGCUGAUGGAACAGUUCUGAAGCUCAGGUCGCGUCUAGUGGCUAGAGGAAAUCAACAAGAAGAGGGAGUAGAUUUUCUUGAAACGUUUAGCCCUGUGGUGCGAACAGCUACUAUCAGGACAGUAUUACAUGUGGCGGUAACAAAGAAAUGGAAGAUCAAGCAGCUUGAUGUUCAGAAUGCCUUUCUACACGGAGACUUGAAGGAGACAGUGUAUAUGAUUCAGCCUCCGGGUUUUGAAGAUCAGUCGAGACCAGAUUAUGUGUGUAAACUGAAGAAAGCAAUAUACGGUCUGAAACAAGCUCCUAGAGCAUGGUUUGAUAAGUUCAGUAACUUUCUCUUGGAGUUCGGAUUUCAGUGUAGCUUUCCGGAUCCUUCGUUGUUCAUCUAUCAUCAAGGAACAGAUGUUAUUUAUCUGUUACUGUAUGUCGAUGAUAUGAUUUUGACAGGCAACAAUGACAACUUGCUAGUGACACUCCUUGAGAAGCUGAGUACAGUGUUUCGUAUGAAGGAUAUGGGGCCGAUACACUAUUUUCUUGGCAUUCAGGUACAUCAAAAUGAAGACGGUCUGUUCCUGAAUCAGGCCAAAUAUGCUCAGGAUCUUCUCACAAGUGCUGGUAUGCGAGACUGUGCUCCAAUGCCUACGCCUUUGCCGAUGAAGCUAGACAAUCUUCAUGGUCAUGAUGAAUUAUUUGCUGAGCCAUCGUAUUUUCGAAGUCUAGCAGGUAAACUUCAGUACUUAACAUUGACAAGACCAGAUCUUCAGUUCUCGGUGAACUAUAUCUGUCAGAAGAUGCAUCAGCCAAGUGUGUCUGACUUCAGUUUGCUAAAGAGAAUCUUAAGAUAUGUCAAGGGUACAUAUGAUAUGGGAGUGAGUAUCAAAGGUCAUACAGAUUCAACUUUAGUCUGUUAUAGCGACUCAGACUGGGCUGGAUGCAAAGACACUCGAAGAUCAACUGGUGGUUUUUGCACAAUGCUUGGCUCAAAUGUUAUAUCCUGGUCUGCGAAGAGACAUGAUACUGUAUCUAAGUCAUCUACUGAGGCAGAAUAUCGAACAAUGUCUGCUGCAACUUCAGAGAUUGUUUGGCUACAAAAUCUUUUGAAGAUAAUGGGGCUGCAACAGAGAGUCACGCCUCUGCUUCUCUGCGACAAUUUGUCUGCAGUAUGUUUGACAGCGAAUCCAAUGUUUCACAAGAGGACUAAGCAUUUUGAUAUUGAUUAUCAUUAUGUUAGAGAACGAGUAGCAGUGAAAGCUCUGGAAGUCAAGCACAUUCCGGCUACUCUUCAGAUUGCGGAUGUGUUUACAAAGUCAUUGUCACAAGAGUCUUUCUACAAAUGGAGAAGCAAACUUGGUGUUGCCGUGCCUCCUACGCCAAGUUUGAGGGGGAGUAAAGGUAGUAUGAAUACUGGGCCGUUGUUCAAAGCCCAUUUGGAGGAAAGGAAGAAGACCGUUGCUGUCUCUCAGCCCAAGAACAAGUCUUUGUCGUCUUCUGCAACUUCAGUAAACAAGCAAGCUUUGCGUGAGCAUGGUACGGUCAAGCCAGCUCACUGUGUGGAGACAAAGAAUAGGUUUGAGAGUUUGGACAGCUGUACAGCAGUGUGCUGAGGUUAACCUAAAUCUGAGAGUUGUAUAUAUUGAUGUAAAGGGCAAGUCUUGCCGUCAAGUUGAAAGUAAUAAGAAAGCAUAAGUUUCUUCUCUAUUACGUCU
rnacentral:lncRNA from 1 species